rnacentral:rRNA from 1 species
AUAGUUUGAUCCUGGCUCAGGACGAACGCUGGCGGCGUGCCUAAUACAUGCAAGUCGAGCGAAUGACGAGGAGCUUGCUCCUCUGAUUUAGCGGCGGACGGGUGAGUAACACGUGGGCAACCUGCCCUGUAGACUGGGAUAACUUCGGGAAACCGGAGCUAAUACCGGAUAAUCCAUUUCACCUCAUGGUGAAAUGUUGAAAGGCGCUUUCGGGCGUCACUACAGGAUGGGCCCGCGGUGCAUUAGCUAGUUGGUGGGGUAACGGCCUACCAAGGCGACGAUGCAUAGCCGACCUGAGAGGGUGAUCGGCCACAUUGGGACUGAGACACGGCCCAAACUCCUACGGGAGGCAGCAGUAGGGAAUCUUCCACAAUGGACGAAAGUCUGAUGGAGCAACGCCGCGUGAGUGAUGAAGGUUUUCGGAUCGUAAAACUCUGUUGUAAGGGAAGAACAAGUACGUUAGGAAAUGAACGUACCUUGACGGUACCUUAUUAGAAAGCCACGGCUAACUACGUGCCAGCAGCCGCGGUAAUACGUAGGUGGCAAGCGUUGUCCGGAUUUAUUGGGCGUAAAGCGCGCGCAGGCGGUUUCUUAAGUCUGAUGUGAAAGCCCACGGCUUAACCGUGGAGGGUCAUUGGAAACUGGGAGACUUGAGUGCAGAAGAGGAAAGUGGAAUUCCAAGUGUAGCGGUGAAAUGCGUAGAGAUUUGGAGGAACACCAGUGGCGAAGGCGACUUUCUGGUCUGCAACUGACGCUGAGGCGCGAAAGC